rnacentral:misc_RNA from 1 species
GAUGAAGAACGCAGCGAAAUGCGAUAAGUAGUGUGAAUUGCAGAAUUCAGUGAAUCAUCGAAUCUUUGAACGCACAUUGCGCCCUUUGGUAUUCCAAAGGGCAUGCCUGUUCGAGCGUCAUUUGUACCCUCAAGCUCUGCUUGGUAUUGGGCACCGUCCUUUGCGGGCGCGCCUCAAAGACCUCGGCGGUGGCGUCUUGCCUCAAGCGUAGUAGAAUACACCUCGCUUCGGAGCGUAAGGCGUCGCCCGCCGGACGAACCUUCUGAACUUUUCUCAAGGUUGACCUCGGAUCAGGUAGGGAUACCCGCUGAACUUAAGCAUAUCAAUAAGCGGAGGA